GUCCACAAGUCCUGGGUCUGGGCUCUAGCCAGAUGGGGGUGGAGUGGAGGACACAGGGAGUCCCUCAUGCUUGAGUCCCCUGGGGCCACCUUGAGGCAGCCUAUCCCAAUGCACCCCCGCCCCACUAUCCGGGUGGGGCGCAGAAGAGAGGGGAGCCCUUCCCCACUCAAUCUCCAGGAGACUCAGGGCCUGCCAGUUCUCAUCAGCUGGGAGGUGGAAAGGGUGAUAUGGGGAGAGAUGGAAGAGGACCGGGAGGAGAGGUGGAGAGCGGACAGAGGGGCUGGCUGUUGAGAUGGGUGGACAGGAGGAAGGACAUCUGGGAGGACCAGGUCUCUCCGCUCCUCUUGGCCUCAGUUUCCUCCUCCGUCAUGUGUGGAUGAGGACAUCAGACCUCCCGACCUUUCCAGGUUUUGUGGGGAUCAGUGAGAUGAGGCACGGGAAGCCAUCUUGAAUUCCCUCCUCAUCAGUUUGUGUUCUCCCUCCUUUUCUCUCCAGGUACCUUCCUCCUUCCCCUCCCCUUCGCCCCGCUUACUUUCCCCAAUCUCUGAUAGGACUUCAGUCAGAGCUGCAUUGACAGGCAGCCCUAGGCAGCCAGAUAAGGAACCUCGGCAAAAGGUUUUUGAGCAUGAAUGAGCUUAAAGCUUGGCACUAGAGCCCAGUGCUGGCUGGGUCUGGGCACGUGCUGGCUAGGACAGGAAGCCAGGCCUGGAGCAAGCCCUGGUCAAUGCCCAGCUGGCCUCAGGAGGUGAAGGACCUUGUCCCAGGCCGGGCAGAGGUCAGGAGACUCAGCCCCGGGCUAGCUGGGGACAAGGGCUGCCGCUGCACUUAGCACUUUCAGGCUCCAGGGCCCAGGGCGGGUGCUGAGGUGCCUGUCUUGGAGCAGCCAUGCAGCCCCGUCCCCACAGCUGUCUAAUGGCAGGGGGCAGGGAAGUUGCAAUCCUAAUCAUUCACAUUUUCUGACUUGGAGGCCCUCUCCUAGUUAUCAGCACAUUUACUCCUAACUACACACAGGGAGGAGGGAAUUAUUAGCAUCAUCCCCAUUGUAAAAAUGAGGAUCUUGAGGUUAAGCAACUGCUUAGGGUGCAAUACACAUGUCAGUGUUCACAGUCCUUUCACUGGCCUCAUCGGCAGCUCUCAACAGGUACAUUUAUAGGGAAGAAGUCAAGAGAAGGGGAAGCCUGAAAGCCACAGGUCAGACUGGGAAAGGCCAAGAGAGGGUCCCAGUCACUCAAAGGGAGCCAGAAGUCCAAGGAGGGUCCCCUGACCCCGACUUGUACACCGGAGAAGGGCUGCCUCUACUUCAAGGGCACAGGGCAGCUGGUGAGGGCACAGGGCGGCUGCAGGCCGCAGUGUCCACAGUGUCCUUGGUAAAGUCGACUGUAUUCACAUCUGCAUUCUGUGAGUGCGGGUAUAGGUGGGAGUGGAGGAGAGGACUUACUUUCUGGGUUUACGGGCACGGUGUGGUGUCAGCCCAUUUGGAAGCAAAGCCUAGAUAUGGAGGGAGCCAGAUGAACAGGUCCUGGGAAUGCACAGGACCCCCUGAAGCAGGCUGGGGAUCUGAGUGAUCUUGCUGUAUCUGAGCUGACAUUGGAACAUGAACAGUCUGAAAUCCCAUGAGCCCUGCUGCCCUGCACCUGUGACCCUCAGGCUAGACCUUAGACUGUCUACAACACGAGUCAGGCCCAACCCACCCUGGAAAUCGUCGUAGGAGGUUCCAGCUCAGUGCCCAGAGACAGCCCCCGCAUCCCACCCCAUCAGGUAAGCUCAGGCUGGAGCAGGCAUGUGAGCAACACCCCUCAUUCCACCCCCAUACACACACAUAACCCCAUCUGCCUGCGCCCUGCCAGUCUGACCAGCACAGUCCUGGGGACAGGAGCGUGGUGGAGGAGCUGCAGGUGGGGGCCAGAGAAGCCUCCACAGAGAGCAAAAGCCAGGGUCAGCCAGAGACAGGACACCAGAAGAGACAGGAGAUCAGAGACCAGAGGAACAGAGAAGAGGCCCCAGAGCAAAGCAAGGAACAGCCAAGGCACCAGGACAUGGAUGCAGUGGAGCCAGGGGGAAGUGGCUGGGCCGGCGUGUUGGCGUGCAGGCUUUGGAAAGCCAUCAGCAGGGCGCUGUUUGCAGAGUUCCUGGCCACGGGGCUGUAUGUGUUCUUUGGCGUGGGCUCAGUGAUGCGCUGGCCCACAGCACUUCCCUCCGUGCUACAGAUUGCCAUCACCUUCAACCUGGUCACUGCCAUGGCUGUGCAGGUCACCUGGAAGGCCAGCGGGGCCCACGCCAACCCCGCUGUGACGCUGGCCUUCCUCGUAGGCUCCCACAUCUCUCUGCCCCGUGCUGUGGCAUAUGUGGCUGCCCAGCUGGUGGGGGCCACGGUGGGGGCUGCUCUGCUUUAUGGGGUCAUGCCGGGAGACAUCCGAGAGACCCUUGGGAUCAACGUGGCUCCACCCACGUCCUCUGCUCUCCGAUUGUUCCCAAAUUCUUCCCUCCACCUCGAGGCCUGCCUCACUCGCCCCUUCUCCAUUUCCUAACCAUCUGUGUUCCACCUUCUUCCCCCAAAUCUCCUCCUCCUGCACCUGCUGCCAGUCUCCUCUCAAGCAAGCCUCCUGAACCACUGGCCCCAACCAACCCACUGGUGGGGUGGGAGGAGCGCCACUCACUUCUGCAGGGAGCAAGGGUCCAGAGCAGAUAUGGACCCCUCUGCACAGACCUCCCGAAGUCCUGAAGCUGGGUGGCAGUGAGGAGUCACCCCCUUCCAGCUGAGGAGACCAGGCCCAGUGGCAGGGGUUUCUCUGUCUGUCCGUGGGCAGAGCCCGCGUCUAGUCCAGAGUAACUCCCUCUGUCCAGGUCCGGAACAGUGUCUCAACUGGCCAGGCGGUGGCAGUGGAGCUGCUUCUGACUCUGCAGCUGGUGCUCUGUGUCUUCGCUUCCACCGACAGCCGUCAGACAUCGGGCUCCCCGGCCACCAUGAUUGGGAUCUCUGUGGCACUGGGCCACCUCAUUGGGAUCCACUUCACUGGCUGCUCCAUGAACCCAGCCCGCUCCUUCGGCCCUGCCGUCAUCAUUGGGAAGUUCACAGUCCACUGGCUGGACCAAUUUUCAAACUUGGAUAAAGAAAAAGACAAACAGAAAUAGACACACACACCAGCAGAGACAGAAACAGCAAUAGCCAGGACUCAUGGCUAAAACGGGGGAAGUGAGAGGAAAGAGGCGGGGGUGGGUGAGGAGACUGGCCCCAGGCCCCAGCCACAGCUGCAGAGCCUGGGCUCAGCCCCAGGGAGGGCAGGGAGAGCAAGGGGCAAGGUCCCCAUACCUUGUGGGCUUGGAAAAAACGACUUGUGGUUCUCAAAUUUAGCACCUUACAGACAGUUGAGGGAGACCUGGGAGAUCAAGUCGGCACUAGGGAAGGAGGCAGCAGUCCCAGAGCCACCCUGUGGUCCUGGUAGCUCCUGGGUGGGGUGACGACAUCCUUCUCCUCAGGUCUUCUGGGUGGGGCCCCUGAUGGGAGCCCUCCUGGCCUCACUGAUUUACAACUUCGUCCUGUUCCCCGACACCAAGACCCUGGCCCAGCGGCUGGCUAUCCUCACAGGCACCGCAGAGGUGGGGACAGGGGCAGGGGUGGGGGCAGGGGCGGAGCCCCCGAAGAAGGAAUCCCAGCCGGGUUCGGGAGCCAUGGAGAUGGAGAGUGUGUGAAAUAGCCUAGGCCUGGCCGCGCCCUUGGGCUUCCUGCCUUGCAGGGCCUGCCUGGAAGUUCUCCCUGGGGGUGGCGGGAGGGGGAGGCUUGACCUCUUGUCCUGACCAGGUGGGCCAGAGGGGACAAGCCCUAUCCCUGGCAUUACAUUUCUAGGUAGAAUCUGGGAGUGAAUUUGUCCCAUUCUCUCUCUUUAGGGCUUCCCCACCUCUCAGUGGGAUAGAGCAGAGGAAGGCAGGGGAUUUAGGAUCGCCCUCCCCUCCUCUCACCCAUUGGACCCCGUAGGAGUCCUGACCCCCAGAUGCCCAAGUCUUGGGGGAGAAAGGAAUGGGAGCCCAGACGGCCACUCUGCUUAGACGUGGGAGCUAUAGGGACCUCAGGGAGCCCCAACUUCUUACCCACCCAGGAAACCCUUGGUCUGGAGGGGACAGACUAUCUGGAGGAAUCAGGCCCUGGGACAGCCUCUGAGCUCCUGGGGGGGUUUCUCUGCCCUUGGGUGUGGUUUUGGGGGGUAUAUUUCCUCCUUCAGACUAGGGGCUUCCUGAGGACAGAGACUGCUCUACCAAUAGAUCUUUGUUUGUUUGUUUGUUUUGAGACAGAAUCUUGAUCUGUUAUCCAGGCUGGAGUGCAGUGGCAUGAUCUCGGCUCACUGCAACCUCUACCUCCUGGGUUCAAGGGAUUCUCCUGCCUCAGCCUCCCAAGUAGCUGGGAUUACAGGCGCCUGCCACCACGCCCAGCUAAUUUUUUGUAUUUUUAGUAGAGAUGGGGUUUCACCAUAUUGGUCGGGCUGGUCUCAAACUCCUGACCUGAGGUGAUCUGCCCACCUUGGCCUCCCAAAGUGCUGGGAUUACAGGCAUGAGCCACCGCGCCCGGCCUCUCCCAAUAGGUCUUUAUUCCUCACUCCUCCAAAUGCUCUGGAGAGGCCCCCACCCUUGAGAAGAACUGACACAGAGAAGAACAUUUUCUCAGGCUCGUAGAGGGGUGGGAUAGAGGAAGGGAGGUUUGAGCCAGACAGGCCUUUCCCAGGGAAGCCUCCUCCCAGGUGCUUGCCCCAGCUCCCACCCCACAGCCCACUCUCAGGCAGGAACAAUCCUUAGAGGGGAAGUGCCCAUCUAGCCAUUGACUCAUGACCUGGGUCAAAGAAGCCAUCUCCAGGCUCUCUGUCAGCAUUACGGGAUCCCCAAAAAGCUGUUGAAUAAGCCCUAAGGGUGGUAGGAACCCAGGAGGGACCCAGGAAACGAAGAUUUGAGAUUCAGUGCCUCUGAAAGACUACCAAAAUCUAAAUUGGUUUAAUAGUUAAAGGCUGCUGUAGAUUUAUUCUGCCCACAACUUGGGGGUCCUAUCUGGAUCUCGGCUUCUCCAGCUGUAAAAUGGACACACAAUCCUCCUCCAGGGACUGCUGUGAAAUCAAGAAAUUGGAAAAUACUUUCAGAAGUUAAAAUGCUAGAAAAACAACCCCAAUAAAUGAUGAUUAUUGUU
rnacentral:sRNA from 1 species